rnacentral:rRNA from 1 species
CAAUAGCGUAUAUUAAAGUUGUUGCAGUUAAAAAGCUCGUAGUUGGACUUGUGGUGGUCCCUGUGGUCCAAUUUUGGUACUAUCGGGGACUUCAAUCUUUGGGUGGAUCCUGUGUGGCAUUAGGUUGUCGUGCAGGGGAUGCCCAUCGUUUACUGUGAAAAAAUUAGAGUGUUCAAAGCAGGCUUAUGCCGUUGAAUAUAUUAGCAUGGAAUAAUGAGAUAGGACCUUGGUACUAUUUUGUUGGUUUGCGCACCGAGGUAAUGAUUAAUAGGGACAGUUGUGGGUAUUCGUAUUCCAUUGUCAGAGGUGAAAUUCUUGGAUUUCUGGAAGACGAACUAAUGCGAAAGCAUUUACCAAGGAUGUUUUCAUUAA